AGGGCACCACCAGGAGUGGAGCCUGCGGCUUAAUUUGACUCAACACGGGAAAACUUACCCGGCCCGGACACUGGAAGGAUUGACAGAUUGAGGGCUCUUUCUUGAUUCAGUGGGUGGUGGUGCAUGGCCGUUCUUAGUUGGUGGAGCGAUUUGUCUGGUUAAUUCCGAUAACGAACGAGACUCUAGCCUACUAAAUAGACUACCGUUCCUUUGUGACGGUAGGACUUCUUAGAGGGACAGGCGGCGACUCAGCCGCACGAAACAGAGCAAUAACAGGUCUGUGAUGCCCUUAGAUGUCCGGGGCCGCACGCGCGCUACACUGAAGUGAUCAGCGUGCAUUAAUAACCCUCUCUGUCAAGAGUGGGUAACCCAUUGAACCUUCUUCGUGAUUGGGAUAGGGUAUUGUAAUUCUUACCCUUGAACGAGGAAUUCCCAGUAAGCGCGAGUCAUAAGCUUGCGUUGAUUACAUCCCUGCCCUUUGUACACACCGCCCGUCGCUACUACCGAUUGAAUGAUUUA
rnacentral:rRNA from 1 species